GAUGAACGCUGGCGGCGUGCUUAACACAUGCAAGUCGAACGGUGAAGGCGGAGCUUGCUCUGCUGGAUCAGUGGCGAACGGGUGAGUAACACGUGAGCAAUCUGCCCCUGACUCUGGGAUAAGCGCUGGAAACGGCGUCUAAUACUGGAUACGAGCUGCGAAGGCAUCUUCAGCAGCUGGAAAGAACUUCGGUCAGGGAUGAGCUCGCGGCCUAUCAGCUUGUUGGUGAGGUAACGGCUCACCAAGGCGUCGACGGGUAGCCGGCCUGAGAGGGUGACCGGCCACACUGGGACUGAGACACGGCCCAGACUCCUACGGGAGGCAGCAGUGGGGAAUAUUGCACAAUGGGCGAAAGCCUGAUGCAGCAACGCCGCGUGAGGGACGACGGCCUUCGGGCUGUAAACCUCUUUUAGCAGGGAAGAAGCGAAAGUGACGGUACCUGCAGAAAAAGCGCCGGCUAACUACGUG
rnacentral:rRNA from 1 species